rnacentral:ncRNA from 1 species
CCCCUGUUCGCGUCGGGGUCAUGACGCGGAAUCCUCCCUGUUGGACUGGCCCGGGCAUCGCCCGGGUCUUUUU